rnacentral:misc_RNA from 1 species
AAAAGGACAGACAAUUCAAGUUUAUUUAUACAUUUUGAUAGAAGGACAGUGUUCGCUGACAUAAGGACUCAUAUACCUGAAAGGCUACUUCAAAUUGACAGUGAAAUGAGAACCGUCCGAGCAACAAAUAGUACUGAAAACAUGGAGGUGUAUUUGUACUUUAAUGAACCAAUUUCUAACUCAUCUACGGAUAUUUUGAAUUCCCUGAGCAUAAGUCAGGGAUUGCUUACUCCCAUUAGUGGAAAUAGCUUUGGAGAACGUAGAUUUGGAUUUCAGGUUAGAGGUAUAUCACAGACAGCCAUAGUGACAUUGAGCGUAAGAUCAGACUUAAUAUUGAGCUGGCAGGGAACCCCUAUUGCUCCUGUAGCUCCUGUUACUUUUCUAUACGAUAUGCAACGGCCUGCUGUCAGGUUGAGCACAACAUCUAGGAUGAGGACCUGUGAUGAGCAAAUUCCUGUACUGAUAAAGUUUGUUAAGCCAGUGUUUGGCUUUAAUAGUUCUCAUGUAUCCAUAUCUGGAGGGCAGUUGCAGAGCUUUCAAGAAAUGAGUAGAAGCAUGUACACUGUCAAUAUACAAGCCAGAGAUGAUUUUGUUUCUGUGAGCAUCCCCGAAAAUGUAACUGGUGAUGUUGCUGGAAACAUGAACCUACAAUCUAAUGUUCUCCGGCUCAAGCACUAUACUGUACCAGUAACAUCUGAAGUGCUUUCCAUCUUGGCAACUUCUGCUUUCGUGGUUACGUCUUUUGCAGCAGGGCUCCUCACAGUUUCAACCGCAAGCCUCCAAUCUGUUGGUGCAUACUCAAGACCAAGCUCUUUAAUGACAUCUGAUCCUGCUAGAAAUCUUUUU